AUGCAUUGGGUGUCUUGGAAGGAGCUUGCAACACCCAAGUGCAAAGGUGGGAUGGGUUUCAGACACCCACAUCUGUUCAACCUUGCCAUGUUGGGGAAGCAUGGAUGGCGUUUUUUGACGAACCCUAAUUCCCUUUGUGCAAGAGUUUUGAGGGGACGGUAUUUUCCUGACACGGAUUUUGUGCAUGCUGCCUUACCUAAGUCGGCCUUGGCCACUUGGAAAGCUAUUAUAGCAGGAAGAGAAGCCCUUCGAUGCGGCUUGAUCUCCCGUGUUGGAGAUGGCAACACUAUCGAUGUCUGUACCGAUAAAUGGAUUCCAAGUACUAUAUCUAUGUCACCUAUCUCAAGACCACAUAACACUGGUAUCCAAAGGGUGACAGACCUCAUUGAUACAUCAAACUGUUCUUGGAAGCAUGAGGUGGUCAGGGAGACUUUCAUUGCCCCAGAUGUUGAGGCCAUUCUUAAUAUUCCCAUCCGGCAAGGGGGAGGCGAUGAUUAUCUUGCUUGGGCAUUCGAAAGAUCAGGCAACUACACUGUAAAGUCGGCGUACCAUGCUCUUGUGACUCAGAACGAGCGUUUGGCUCUAGAUGAAGGGACGGCUACCGGAACCUCAAAUGAUGAACAACAGAUGUGGAAAUCCUUGUGGAAAUUGAAUGUUAUCCCAUAA
rnacentral:rRNA from 1 species